rnacentral:rRNA from 1 species
UACGUAGGUGGCAAGCGUUGUCCGGAUUUACUGGGCGUAAAGAGCGCGCAGGCGGUCGAUCAAGUCGGAUGUGAAAGCCCCCGGCUCAACUGGGGAGGGUCAUUCGAUACUGAUCGACUCGAAGGCAGGAGAGGGAAGCGGAAUUCCCGGUGUAGUGGUGAAAUGCGUAGAUAUCGGGAGGAACACCAGUGGCGAAGGCGGCUUCCUGGCCUGUUCUUGACGCUGAGGCGCGAAAGCUAGGGGAGCAAACGGG